GAUGAACGCUAGCUACAGGCUUAACACAUGCAAGUCGAGGGGAAACGAUAUUGGAAGCUUGCUUCCGAUAGGCGUCGACCGGCGCACGGGUGAGUAACGCGUAUCCAACCUGCCCAUCACUUGGGGAUAACCUUGCGAAAGUAAGACUAAUACCCAAUGACGUCUCUAGAAGACAUCUGAAGGAGAUUAAAGAUUUAUCGGUGAUGGAUGGGGAUGCGUCUGAUUAGCUUGUUGGCGGGGUAACGGCCCACCAAGGCGACGAUCAGUAGGGGUUCUGAGAGGAAGAUCCCCCACAUUGGAACUGAGACACGGUCCAAACUCCUACGGGAGGCAGCAGUGAGGAAUAUUGGUCAAUGGGCGAGAGCCUGAACCAGCCAAGUAGCGUGCAGGAAGACGGCCCUAUGGGCUGUAAACUGCUUUUAUAAGGGAAUAAAGUGGGAGUCGUGACUCCUUUUGCAUGUACCUUAUGAAUAAGGACCGGCUAAUUCCGUGCCAGCCGCCGCAGUAA
rnacentral:rRNA from 1 species